ACGUAGGGCGCAAGCGUUAUCCGGAAUUAUUGGGCGUAAAGAGCUCGUAGGCGGUUUGUCGCGUCUGCCGUGAAAGCCCGGGGCUCAACCCCGGAACUGCUUUCGAAACUGCUGAGCUAGAGUACAGAAGGGGCAACCGGAAUUCCCAGUGUAGCGGUGAAAUGCGUAGAUAUUGGGAAGAACACCUGAGGCGAAGGCGGGUUGCUGGGCUGAUACUGACGCUGAGGCGCGAAAGCCAGGGGAGCAAACGGGA
rnacentral:rRNA from 1 species